rnacentral:lncRNA from 1 species
AUCAGGCUCUUCUGCUUCCCGGCCCCGCAGCUCCCUUCCCUUCUCGCUUGCCUCUCUGGAUGCUUUCUCAGAAGCUGGACUCCCCGUCCCUCUCCCUGGCUGGUCCAGAGCCCUUUACUGCUGAGGCAGCACAGUUCCCGUCAACUGGGUUGUUUUACCAAGUGUCUUCAGAGGGGAUGAGUUAGAGUGCUGGCCUGGGGAGAGGGUGCCUCCCCAGGUUUGAUCUGUAGGGUCCAGCUUUCUGCAGGGAAGAUGUUUUACAGAUGUGUCAAGCUGAUGUUGUAAUGUGGUUGGGGAAGGAACUCCAGACCCAACGUGUUUGCCAGCUGGGUACGCGCAACUCUGGGAUCCUCGGUCUUAAAAUGAUUUUUCUCUUUGUACUGGGAAACAAGUCAUGCUGUCACCAAGCUGAAGAAAAACCCACUGUGGCUGCUGGUUCUGAAUCGCAGAAAUCAGAUGAGUCCAGGUGUCCAUGGCAGAGUGAAUGGACCAGAGGCGAGACAGUGGCGAGAGAAGUAUCCACUUCAGCUCAAAACUUUGAAAACUGAGAAACCUUUGCAUGUGGUGCUGUUCUGAGGCAUCUCCUGGAAAGUCCCCGAAGCCCCUGAGCUGUCUGUAGUUCAGAAAAAAUGGUGUGGCUGCAAAGAAGCAGAGAUUUUCGUGCAUUUCCUACUCUAAACUUAAAUUCAUCAGUUCAGACUUGGAGGUAGAUGUCUGUUAAGGGAGAA